rnacentral:rRNA from 1 species
GGUUUCCGUAGGUGAACCUGCGGAAGGAUCAUUACCGAUGUAAUCCAAAAGCACGACUCCGUCGUGACUACCGUGUGAACUGUACCAAACUAUUCAGGGGUCGGCAAGUCCGUUAAAUGGCGGUCGGACGCGUGCACCGCGCGCGGCCGCUCCGCCAGCCCCGCCUGUGUUUUUUAACAUACGUGUCUUGUCUGAAACGUGACCACUGCCGUGGUCCAGAGCAAAAAGAAAGAGAGACAACUUUUGACGGUGGAUCUCUUGGCUCACGCAUCGAUGAAGAACGCAGCCAGCUGCGAUAAGUAGUGUGAAUUGCAGAAUUCAGUGAAUCAUCGAAUCUUUGAACGCAAAUGGCGCUCUUGGGUUCUCCCAGGAGCAUGUCUGUCUGAGUGUCGGAUAUCAUCCAACGCACCUAGUCGUGCGGCGUUGAGGCGUCACGGCCCUCCUGGCGGCCGUGUCCCUUGAAAGUCAGAGAGACUCGCCGCGGCACGGGUUCGUUCCCUGCACACUCGCGGAGGCUAAAAACGCUUUUGCCCUUCGCGUGCACGGGAGCGGCCCAGCCGCCGAGUCACGGAGGCGAACACUCUUCAACUCUUGACCUCAGAUCAGG